UGUUUUUUUCUAUCUGGACCACCUACUGCCAUGGUUAUACUCUGGAUACAGUCACUGCUACUCUCUACCAUAAGCUCCUGCCUCUCCAGUCCCCUUCCAGUUCACCCAGCCUUUGUGACAUCUUAACAAACACCUUUCUAUUAAAGAUCUCCUCUUCUUUUUCACCCCUCUUUACCCAUCCUUUGUGAAACAUCAUGUUUCAGAACUAUAAUCACUCCCUGAAAACACUUUAACUGCUCUGUUCCUCUUUCUCUCCAUCCAACUGUCUACUUGUAUAAUCCUAAAUAAACCUUACUCUGGGCCUAAAUCCACAUAGCUAAACUCUUCUCCAGAAAUGGAAAAAAACAUGAAAGAACAAUGCUAAUUGGUUUUACCAUAUAACCAAAAAUAUCAAAUGGAAAGCACCAUUGCCAAUUGGCUCUUCUGAUUUCUCUAAAAAUUCUGUUUUUCUAUCUCUAAAAUGCUUAUUUCUCUAUUACCUUUUCCUCCAACUUAUAAUAACCUAUUCCAUUUUUCUGCAGAUGAUCUUGCCUUUCCUUCAUACCUCAUAUAGAAGCAAGAAACCACAUGGCAAGAAUUACCUACAUCAAUUUCCUAUAAUACUCUCAAUCCAGCUACAUUUGAAUCUAUGAACAAUGUGCUCUCUAUUAAAAUAGAAGAAAUGUCCUUACUUCUAUAUAGGCCACCAUUUUUGCUAUUUAAGAUCUGCAUUUCUCAAAUCAUAUCUAAUCUCUCCUAAAUCUUCAAGUUGUCUUUCAAAUAUAGCAUUACCAUCAGCAGAAACACAUUUAAUAUCACUCAUCUAAUACAAAACAAAGUGACCUUGACCUUACAUUUCCUUCCAGCUCAUAUCCCAUUUAGCUUCUCCUUUCACUAUAAAACUUUUGCAAAAAGUUACCUCCGAUUCUCUAUGAAGUCUACUUCAUUAUAGUUUCAUUCCAGUUUUUCUUCAUAUUUAUUAUAUAGGAAAGGAAACAAAUCUAAUUGUUAAGCUUGAACCUUAACCUCUUGGGCUCUGAUUCAUAUUCCAUGAUUUACUAUCAAUAAAUGCAAUAUAACUUCUCUGUAUCUUGGUUUCCUCAAGUAUAAAAUGAAAAUAAUCAAAGUAACUAUCUCAUAAGAUUAUUGUGAGGAUUAAAUAGCACAUAUGAAAGCAUAAGAAUACCAGGACUGUAGAAAUAAUUCAAUACAUGUUCACUAUUAUGUUCAACAAGAACCUUGUUUCAUCUUACCAAAUCCAAUAAUGAAGGCUCUUCCUUGUCUUAGUUCUCAAGAGGCAGUAGACAGAGUUCACAACUCACUUCUAUUCAUGGAUCCUGUGACAUCACACUCUAUUGGGUUUCUUCUACUCUACUGGUUGCUGAUUCAGGAUUUGAUGACUGUUUAACGUCUAAAACUUAGAAUAUUCAGCCCACCCUUCUUACUAUCUAAACUCUUCCUAGGUAUUCUGAUCAAGUUUCAUGUUUUUAAAUACCAUCUAUGUGCUGAUGUUGCUCAUAUUCAUUUCUCCAAUCCUGGCUUUCUUCUGAGCAUCAGACACAUAUAAUUAACUACCAUCUCCACUAGGAUAUUAAGUUGGUACUGAAAACCUAACAAAUCCAGAACUGAAUUCUUAAAGACCUCCCUCUUUCUUCAUCUUAGCCCAUAAAUCUGCUCUAUUAAUCUUUCUGUUUCUGUCAUAAUUAUCAUUAUUUACAUAGUUAUCAGGCCAAAUAACUAGAAGUCAUAUAUCUGAUUCUUCCUUCUUCUCAAACUGUUAUCCAAAUAAUAGCAGGCCUGUUUGCUUCAUCUCAAAAAUAUAACUCAAAUACAUCUCUACUUCUUAUUACUGCUGCCAUCUUAAUCCAAGUUAUCAUGAUCUCUUUGCUAGAUGAUAAAAAAAUCUUCUAAACAUUUCCCUCCUCCCAUUCUCCCCUCCUCCCAAUUAAGUAAUUUUCUUCAGAGCAGCCAAUGUAAUCUCAAAGAAUAAACCAGACCUUAUCAAUUCCCUGUUUAAAAUCUUCAGAGGCAAUUACAAUUAAAUCCAGGCACAGUGGUGGACAGCUAUAAUUCCAGCAUCAAGGGAGGCUGAGGCAGGAGAUCACAAGUUUGAGGCUAGCCUCUGCAAUUUAAUGAGGCCUAAGCAACUUAGUGAGACAAUGUCUCAAAAUAAAAAAAAAAGUAAAAAGGGCUAUGGAUGUGUCUUCGUAGUAAAGCACC
rnacentral:lncRNA from 1 species